AGUCUCAAAAUAAUAGUAAUAAAAUCUUUUUUAAAUUUUGAUUUUUUUCCCUCUAAUUAUUAUUAUUUUUAGAUAACUAAUCUCAUUCUGGUGUUUAGAAGUGGUAUGCUUGGAAGGUCAGGGAAAGUCACCAGGACGAAGCAGUAAGUAGCACCAAACACCCCUUCUCUCUGGCCCUGUGAUUACUGUGCCCACUCUGGGCUCUGCCAGCAAGAGGGCUAUCAUCAGAUGUGGGCCCUUGAACCUUCAGGACUGUGAGCUAAGUCAACCUUAUUUCUUUGUAGAUUUAUUUAGCCUUAGCGUUUUGUUACAAUACUAUAAAACAGACUGACACAGGCACUGUGAGCAAGAACCUUUCCUUGUAGCAGGGAAGGUGCCAGUACACCAGAAUUAAUCUGAAUAAAGGUCGGGGGGAAGAUGCUCAGCCUGUAUCUGGGUGUCGCGUUUCUCCGCCUCUUGCUUUGAGAGCUCUCCUGCUUUGACGCUGAUGCAGGUGACGGCAGCGAGCUGAUGGUUUGAUUUGGGUAUUUAGUGCAAGGUUCUCUGGAAUUUUCAUUUUUCAUAGCACUGGGGACCAGGCCCAUGCUAAACAAGUGGUCUACACCGAGCUACAUCUCAACCGUCAGGUCCGUUUUUAGAAAUAACCUGGGAGUUGGGGGAAAUGACUGGCUGGGCUGUCCUGAGUCUCAGUUGUCAGCAACCCAGGAAUAACCGUGGAUUUCUUUGGCUCCGUCCGCUGGGACAGAAGAUGCCAUCUUCACCCCAGUGGCAAUUUCUAGAGCCAUAGGAAGAAAUCUGUAGUCUCAGGCUGGAGUCUAAACUCCAGCUGAAGGGACACCACGGUGGUAUUCUCCCCCAGAGAGCACCUGGGGCCCAGUGUCCCCAGGGCACAGCCCGCUAGGCCGCACAUAGGGCCGUGGCCUAUGGGACUCCUUCAUAGAGAGGCCGGGGCAGGCCUUUGGCUCUGAAGCAGGCUGAGCUGAGGUCCUUUGUGUUCCCUCUGUGGACCAUUCGCCCCUUGAACUGGGCUUUCUUGGCCAAAGCUUGUGCUAACCCCAGGCUCGACAUCACCCCCGUGGAACCUGUUCCCUGACAGUGUGCUCUUCUCUCUGAAGCUACACAUCCUCUCUAUCCAAUUCCGGGGGCACCCUGCACUCAUGGGCAGCCAUCACGUCUCCUGCCUGCCCUCCUCAUGGUGAAGCUUGUUGGAACUUGUCGCCGCUUAGCCUCUGCUGGGAGGAGCACUGGCCCGGGAGUCAGAAAUGGAAUCCCUCUGCGUUGGCUGAGCGCUGUUCCUGCCUGCCAGUCUCUCUGUCUAGAAAACAGUAGCUAGUGGGUGGCGUUUAGAGCCUCCAGGACCUGGACAUCCGUUUCCAAGAUGCCCCUCUCUCCAGGGGGCUAGACGCGGUCUCCAGUAGUCCCGGCUGGGCUCAAACUCGCUGUGUGGUGGAGAAUGGCCCUGAACUCCUGAUCUGGUCAACCCCGUUACAAAUGAUGAUGUUCGCCGCCACGCCAAGCUUUUUUUUGUUCUUUCCGUGCUGCUGAAGAUGGAAUCCCUUGUGCUCACCAGGCUAGCUCCCUGCCGCUAAGUACAAACCCUUACUCCCCUCCCGCUCUCUCCACGAGGGGUCCCUGUCUCCAGGCGCUUCCAGAGAACUGCGCUUCCAGAGCACACACACUAGGACGUGGUACAAAUGACAGGAAUCAGGACACCCCCACAUGCUACUUUCUGAGCUUGACUCGGUAGAGUUGCCCCCCGGGCGUGGGCUUCCUGGGCUGGAAGGACUUUCCUGACCCCGUGGCCGCACUGUCUAGUCGCCAUCCAGCCCUGUCCUCACCAGCUCUGGUCUCUGGAGGCUCCUGAAGGACACUAAUCAGAAGGGUGCAAGCACAGAGAGGUUACCUGAGCCUCCCAGGCAGGAGAAGGCAGAGGCCAGGAUACAGUGCAUAAAUAUUGGGGCAGGCAGGCUGAGUUUCAGAGCCCAGCUCCCCCACCCCCACCCCAAUCCUGCUGCUCCCUUGAGACCUCAGGAGCCCGAUCGCCCCCUCCCUCCCACAGGCAGCUGGAGCCUGAGUCACGAGCUGCCUCUCAGGAGACAAAGGCAGCCCAGGGCCCUCCCUCCAGACCCCCUCCUGGUGUCAGCAUCUGUACUAGCAGGGAGUCUAACAUCCCUAGAACCUCUGGGGGAAAUGGAAGAACUUAGACGCUGCCUUCGGACUUGAGUGGCAGCUGAUGUCACAUCGCUAUCUUCGGCAGGGGCCACCCCCAGGUAUUUGCUGGUCCUGAGGAGUCAAUAUGAGGUCAAGCGCUGAGCAGACACCAACACAAUAGGGUAAGAGAGAGGGCCCCAGAAGAGGAGCAACAAGGGCAGACUGCACCUAGGAAGACAGCACAGUCCCAGAGCGCUGCUCAGAAAUGGGGUCGGAGAGAGAGCACCCUCAGAGCCCCUGCAGCCCCAAGGUCAGCUCGGCAGGGUGACAGGAACCUAAGUACACAGCACUGUUGGUGGCGCUUGCCCCAUCUUUAGGAAAGCCAGGGAAGGAAGCAGGAAAAAGGAUGCGUCAGAAAGCACAGCUCCUAAGUCCCGAACAAACAGAGCAACAAAACCCCGAACUAAAAACCGGUCCCAACAGAGGCGGUGAUGUGCGAUCCGCUUGUGGCGAUGGGAUUAAAGCUCGUCAUAUCCCUGCCCAUCUUGCCCCCCCACCUUCUAAAUGACAAUGUAGAAAGUCUUUAUGGGGAAUGGGGGGAGGGGGUCUGGCUGGAAAUCACAUGGGUAUGUGUGCAUGUGUGUGGGGAGGGGACUGGUCAUUUUUAGCUAGGGUAAAUGGAGCUGGCCUGACGGGCACGGGGCGGGUGGUCGCCCCCCUUCCUGCUUUAACCCACUAAUAGCCUGUCAGCCCCUCAUCUCUCCCAACAGAAGGACGCGAUCCUCCUUAAGAUGUAAAUCCUUCCUCUUCCUCCCGCUAUACUCGCCAUUUUCAUAAGCUGAUUCCAGGCUCCAAAGAGGGAGGGAGAGAAGGGAGGAGGAAAGCCCCAAGGUGGGUGAAUUCUUCAUCAUACAGGAGUUAGAAGCAAGGGUCUCACUCUUUCAGCAGAUACUGACAGGCACCCGCCUGUGCUGGGACAGAGGGACACUGGGGUGAAUUGGAAACCUAGUCCUUGUCCUCCUGGUGUCCCCAUCUGGACAUCGAGAAGUGGCCUGAUAAUCUCUUCCUCCUGGAAGGAAUGGAUUAUGAAUCCUGCCCUUCAGGAAAAGGUUUUGAUUUAUUUCACUUUUUUUUUUUGUUGUUGUUGUUGUUGGUUAGUUGGUUGGUUUUGGUU